rnacentral:rRNA from 1 species
UACGUAGGGACCAAGCGUUGUUCGGAUUUACUGGGCGUAAAGGGCGCGUAGGCGGCGCGACAAGUCACUUGUGAAAUCUCCGGGCUUAACCCGGAACGGCCAAGUGAAACUGUCGUGCUAGAGUGCGGAAGGGGCAAUCGGAAUUCUCGGUGUAGCGGUGAAAUGCGUAGAUAUCGAGAGGAAAACCUGAGGUGAAGACGGGUUGCUGGGCCGACACUGACGCUGAGUGCGCGAAAGCCAGGGGAGCAAACGGG